AUAAGCCUACGGGAGGCAGCAGUGGGGAAUAUUGCACAAUGGGGGAAACCCUGAUGCAGCGACGCCGCGUGAGCGAUGAAGUAUUUCGGUAUGUAAAGCUCUAUCAGCAGGGAAGAAGAUGACGGUACCUGACUAAGAAGCCCCGGCUAACUACGUGCCAGCAGCCGCGGUAAUACGUAGGGGGCAAGCGUUAUCCGGAUUUACUGGGUGUAAAGGGAGCGUAGGCGGCGGCGCAAGCCAGAUGUGAAAGCCCGGGGCUCAACUCCGGGCCUGCAUUUGGAACUGUGUGGCUGGAGUGUCGGAGG
rnacentral:rRNA from 1 species